UGGCGGCGUGCUUAACACAUGCAAGUCGAACGAACCUUCGGGUUAGUGGCGGACGGGUGAGUAACGCGUGAGAAUCUGCCCUCAGGAGGGGGAUAACGGUUGGAAACGACCGCUAAUACCCCAUAUGCCUACUGGUGAAACGAAUUUCGCCUGAGGAUGAGCUCGCGUCUGAUUAGCUAGUUGGUGAGGUAAUGGCUCACCAAGGCUUCGAUCAGUAGCUGGUCUGAGAGGAUGAUCAGCCACACUGGGACUGAGACACGGCCCAGACUCCUACGGGAGGCAGCAGUGGGGAAUUUUCCGCAAUGGGCGAAAGCCUGACGGAGCAACGCCGCGUGAGGGACGAAGGCCUCUGGGCUGUAAACCUCUUUUCUCAAGGAAGAAGAUAUGACGGUACUUGAGGAAUAAGCCACGGCUAAUUCCGUGCCAGCAGCCGCGGUAAUACGGGAGUGGCAAGCGUUAUCCGGAAUUAUUGGGCGUAAAGCGUCCGCAGGCGGCUUUUCAAGUCUGCUGUUAAAGCGUGGAGCUUAACUCCAUCAUGGCAGUGGAAACUGAAAGGCUUGAGUAUGGUAGGGGCAGAGGGAAUUCCCGGUGUAGCGGUGAAAUGC
rnacentral:rRNA from 1 species